UACGUAGGUGACAAGCGUUGUCCGGAUUUACUGGGCGUAAAGAGCGCGCAGGCGGUCGUUCAAGUCGAGUGUGAAAGCCCCCGGCUCAACUGGGGAGGGUCAUUCGAUACUGAUCGACUCGAAGGCAGGAGAGGGAAGUGGAAUUCCCGGUGUAGUGGUGAAAUGCGUAGAUAUCGGGAGGAACACCAGUGGCGAAAGCGGCUCUCUGGAACGGUACUGACGCUGAGACGCGAAAGCGUGGGGAGCGAACAGG
rnacentral:rRNA from 1 species